rnacentral:rRNA from 1 species
UACGUAGGGGGCAAGCGUUGUCCGGAAUUAUUGGGCGUAAAGAGCGUGUAGGCGGCCAGAUAAGUCCGCUGUGAAAUCUCGAGGCUCAACUUCGAGCUGUCGGUGGAAACUAUCUGGCUAGAGUCCGGAAGAGGAGAAUGGAAUUCCUGGUGUAGCGGUGAAAUGCGCAGAUAUCAGGAGGAACACCAGUGGCGAAGGCGGUGCUCUGGGCCGGUACUGACGCUGAGGAGCGAAAGCGUGGGUAGCAAACAGG